rnacentral:rRNA from 1 species
UAUUGCGCAAUGGCCGCAAGGCUGACGCAGCGACGCCGCGUGUGGGAUGACGGCCUUCGGGUUGUAAACCACUGUCGGGAGGGACGAAUACUCGGCCUAGCCGAGGGUGACGGUACCUCCAAAGGAAGCACCGGCUAACUCCGUGCCAGCAGCCGCGGUAAUACGGAGGGUGCGAGCGUUGUCCGGAAUCACUGGGCGUAAAGGGCGCGUAGGCGGCUCAUUAAGUGGCUGGUGAAAUCCCGGGGCUCAACUCCGGGGCUGCCGGUCAGACUGGUGGGCUCGAGCACGGUAGAGGCGGAUGGAAUUCCCGGUGUAGCGGUGGAAUGCGUAGAUAUCGGGAAGAAUACCGGUGGCGAAGGCGUUCCGCUGGGCCGUUGCUGACGCUGAGGCGCGACAGCGUGGGGAGCAAACAGG